rnacentral:rRNA from 1 species
UAAGACGAAGGAUGCAAGCGUUAUCCGGAUUCAUUGGGUUUAAAGGGAGCGUAGGUGGACCGAUAAGUCAGUGGUGAAAUCUCUGGGCUUAACCCAGAAAUUGCCAUUGAUACUGUUGGUCUUGAGUACAGUUGCCGUUGGCGGAAUAUGACAUGUAGUGGUGAAAUACAUAGAGAUGUCAUAGAACACCGAUUGCGAAGGCAGCUAACGAAACUGUAACUGACACUGAGGCUCGAAAGUGUGGGGAUCAAACAGG